UCCCUGGUGGCUCAGAUGGUAAAGCGUCUGCCUGCAAUGCGGGAGACCCAGGUUCAAUUCCUGGGUUGGGAA
rnacentral:tRNA from 1 species